CAUAAAGAUUUGCACUUUACUACCUGUGCCUUGUUGGACAAACUACAUUUCGUGAGAAGGUAAAAAAAAUCGUCAUCGGGUUAUUGAACGAGUGGUAUGAUUUGUUUAUAUGCGGAAAGUUGUUUUCCUAUAUGUUAUUAUUCCUAAUUUAUGUCAGUGAUUCGCAAACCCAGAUAUGAAGACGAGAAAUAGUAAACAUUUUACGGUAUAUUUACAUUACACCACCAAGGAAGAUUUUUAAGUAAGAUUUUCAAAACAAACACUCGCUGGUGUUUUGGUGUUUCGUCAUAAGACGUCAUUUGAUGUGUCACGAUCUCGUGAAUGUGUGUCGCUGGUAAUCUUCCUCCUAAAAAAUGCUCCUCUAUGGGAUUUUUACCCGGUUCCGGAAACAAAUUCGUCAUCCCCUCGCAAAGGAAACUUACUAGAGUACAAAAAUUUGAUGUCAGCUUUAAACACUCGGUUUCCGGAGAGCCAACCGUGAAGACCGUAUACAGGUUUAGCAGGUAGCAAAGACGAAUUUGUUCUUAUUUGUUAUGUGGUAAGAGCGUUACAUUGAAAAAAACCGGUUGCGUAAUGUAAAUGGACUGCGAUCAACAAAAAAAACCGAUACACGUGGGAUCUGUAGGACAUUUGGGUAUCCUUAACUGGACUUGCGAUAAACUGGCACUCCAACUCGGUGCGGACAAAUUGGGCGAGAAUAUGCACAUGGGUAAAUUGGGCGCGGAGAACGGAUUACCAGCAACUUGAAAGAAAAGGACUAUUGGACGCGGGCAACUGCUUCAGACAACUGAGUGUAUCCAAUUGGACGCGGGCAAAUUUAUAGGUGAUAACGGACGAGUUAUUGGACCCCUUCCUCUACAAGUGCAUAUUAUCUUAAAGAGAUUGCGAAAGGUAGCACAUAAACAAACGAUGUUGCAGAUGUCCAUCACUAUCCGGAAUGGAAAAUCAAAUGCGGCCCACCUCUCCUCCCACCCGAUUUAAUUCCACUUACGCCGCUGGUGGGUGUCAUUUUGCAAUGUUGCAUUUGUCAAGAAGGUGUUUCCAGUAUGUAUAGAAGAAGUUUUUACGUCAUAUUUAGCUGAGCAUCAUUUUCCAUUCCUAAUUUCUAAACAUCAACCGUUAUGUGCAGAGCUCGCUCCAAACGAUUCAAAGUCAAUUACUCCUGAUUAACGUACUUCCUGCCCGUUUCCCACAAAAGCACUUCUGUUUCCCACGCUCGCUACUAGUAUUACUAGAAUGGUAGGUUAAAUUUAUGACAAUUCAACGUUCAGUUUUCAAAAAUUAAUUUUAAGCUAAGUAUGUCUUAUUUAUUGCUGAGGGACACAAACUCCCAACAGAGGAUAUGGGUACAGUCAUUUUUAAGCUGCAAUACCACCGCUGAGCUUUGUUUUGUAAGUAAAGUAUCACAUAAGUUUGUGCUAAUAAUGUGAUAUUUAUUGCCGAUGCACCCCAGUUUUCUGCUCUUAUACAGUGCGGGUAAUUCUGGGAAGAAGAUAAAUACAACGAACAUUAGCCUGCAGUACGGCCCAUUUGUACGUAAUACGUAAUUUUUUGUUAAUUUUGUGCUAUUUGAGCCCGAUUAUCCAAAUUUUGUGCUCCCAUACAUAGCGAGUGACUCAGGAGAAUGAACACAGCCAACUUUAGGUUGUUUUGUUUUAUAUACAUAACUUUGUAAUUUUCGCAAAUUUUGUGCUACCAAUCUGGGCCAGUAAUUCCGAAAAAAUUACAGUUCCAGUCAACUUUAACAUAAAAAGUUGUGCUAACCUUGUGUUAUUGAUCUUCGAUGUGUUCCCAAUUAGUAGUUUUGGAAAUACAAUGGUUGCAAUCAAAUUUAUGCUGAAAUACGAUCGGUUUGUUUUGCUAGUGUCAGAAAAGGUUGUGCUACUUUUGUUUCGUAUUAUACAGGGUGGUUUUUAAAUACAUGGCUCAUUAUUGGGAUCUCCGAAACGACAUUUUCAGGUUUUUCGGUGAUAUCUCAGUGGUUAUCAAAGAUUUUCAAAAAUUUCAAAAAUGAAGGUGCAACUUUAACCCCAUUUAACCUACACUGUAUCGCUCACCGUUGCGGAGAUCCCAAUGGUGAGCGACGAAUUUGAACCACCCUGUACAUAUUACUUAAUUUUGUGUAAAUGUUACGAUAUUUAAUGUCUAUGUAUCCAAAUUUUGGACACUCAAUUAGUGCGAGUAAUUUGCCACUCAUUGGUUUGGUCUUUGUUGUGUGUUGUGUAUCCACCGAUCUGUUUUGUUUUGUCUGCGCCACAGCCUUCUUGCUAAUCUUGUUGGAAGUUACACAUGUUGUUCACUAAAAGUUAGCUACUAGUGGAAUACAUGACUCCAUUAACCAAUAAUCCACACCUUUGUGCUGAUUCUGUAUUAUUUUUUGCUAAUACUUGCCAGUUUCAUGCCAAACCAUGUUAAGUAAAUAAUAGGAUAUUGGUACAUCCCGUUUGAGCACCAUAUUGCUAUAUUGUGACCGUUAAUACAGAUUUAAUACAGAGUGUUGGUUAUAUUUGAUGUGUCUGGCGACCGCAAAUGAAGCACAUCUUUUAGAUUGACGUUAGUCUUCAAACUUGGGUGCUAAAAUGUGGCAGGUGUAAAAUAUAGGCAUGAAUGGUUGCCGCCUAUGAGUCUCAGUCGUAGAGCGUUGGGUUACAUAGCCGAAAAGCCGGGUGUUCGAACCUGGGCUGAGGUAAGAAUUUUUCAUCUGUUGCAGAGAUGGGAAUUUCCUUAGAUUUCGAGCAUUCUGCCGAUCACUCCGAAUUAGGUUUUCCUAAUUCGUAAGGUAAAUAACGGGGAGACCUCAAGAUAGGGGCAAUACGGUGUCAUAGUGGGAGGAUUUAAACGCACUUAACGUAACAAAUGAUCGCUUAGCCGUUUUCCAGAAGUUGGUUUUGAAUUUGUAUUUUGGUCAACAUAGGAAAAUUUAUACAUCAACCGCUUCAUAGCGAACACAAACAAAAGUAUUUCUCACUAUUUUAUUAUUCGUUUAAAAAAAAUGUACGCUAGUCGCGGUCAGUGCAUUCAGAAAGGAAAGCCCGUUUCGGUAUUUCUCUCGGGCGAGAUUUAAAUAGCGAAAGAAGUGCGAGAGCGGGAGAUCCUUUCUUGAGUUCGCGACCUGAAACGUACUAUUUGGGCACGGUAAAAAUUACAAUUACAUUGGAAAACGCAUUUGCCAGCGAUGACGUACACUAUUUGUGUGUGAAUUUUUUUAUCGUUGAAAAUUUAUUCUAAGUUGAUUUUCGCGAACCAUCGCGUUAAGUGCGUUGGAACUGAAUUCUUAGCAAAGAUAUAAAAGCAGGUGCGUACUAGGGUGCGUACUAUUUUGUGUAUGACAGAUUUUAUUUCGCGUAUGUGAGAAGAUUCGUGCUGAGAUUUGAAGAGCCGGAACGCGCAUUUAUUGAACGAAAUCCAUCCGAACAGUAGUAAAGAAUUAGCAGUUUAAUUAUGGGUAAAAAUUAAGAAGCGAGAAUUGUUACAUUUCGUUGUGUAUCGUAGAGAAAAAUUUAAGCAAAUUCGGGUUCGUCACAAAUUGCUCGUUGCCUAUAAUUUUAUACGUGUGUGAAUAGACGAAUUGCAGUGGAUUACGGGGCGAAGAAAAACUUUUUAGCAGUCUGAUUCGUAGCAAAGUCGUUUACUUACGAGUGAUAAAAUUUACGCGAAGGAACAUGUUCUAGUUGGUGAAUGUCUUUCACAACCAAACCGCAAGCAAACAAAUCGAUACAAUAAAAACAAGUUCUUUCGGAUAGCUAAUAGUAACGGCUGAUUAAAAGCACGUUUACCAAAGUUGAGUGACUAGUGAUUAGACAAUGCAUUUUGAAUCAAAUUUGUAUACUACCCGCAAAAGAAUGAAAAAUUACUUUCGCGAAAUUGAAGUCGGUUUGCUUGGACUCGCAAUACGUAAGGAUAAUUUUGUUUUGCACUCAUCACGGAGUCAACUGUACCAUUCGACUGAACGCAACAGCAAUUUUAUAUCCUUCGCAAUGUAAAUAUAAAAUAAAUUCUUGCAACAAUCGGUUUGUUUGCUUGGAUUUACGAUUUUUCGUACAAUCUUUAGAAAUGGGGUGAGUAUCUGAGUAAUACAUAGUACAUCCCGACAGAUAACAUGUUCUCUUUGAGAGUUCUUUCCCGGCAUUUAAUUUUGAAAUAUACCAAUUUGAAAAUUUCGUUAAUUAGUUAGGUAUUGGCGCAUAGCUUUCCGACGUUUUUCCAUUGAAAUUAGCGCAUAAGCAAUGAUGCUGUCACCUUUUGGCCUUUUUUUUGGCUAAGGAUUUAUUAUUGUGACUUUAGCAUUUGUCCGGGUCUUGGACGGGUUAUGCGAUUGCGCGGAGGUGCAUAUCAUCGAUAUAGUAAAAACAGAGUUGAAAAAAAGUUAUUCCGUUUUCCCAAAUGCCUUACUCCCUUAAAAAUCAUCUCGGGUUUUUUUUUACUCGAUCCUUCUCCGGUGACUUCUAGGUAAUAAGGAUCUUUUUUGAACUAAAAUCUAAUUUUUGUAAAAAAAAUGUUGCAGCAAUUUCUGGUGUUGAUAUCUGAAGACUCCAGAAAAUCUCAAAUCUUGUGAGAAUGAAGGCCGUUGAGCGUUGUGUAGUUAUGGCACUGAAUAUCAACAGGAUACGGCUUUUCCUUUCCUUUCUUUUUCCCACCAAGGCACAGUAUUUUCCGUUUUUUAACAUUUAAGACGUUUUACCUAACGAUUUGUAUAUAUAUUGGCAUUAUUUGGCAUAAAAACACAUUGCGAGGCAGAAUUUAUUGCAAAGUAAGCCGCAGAGCUGUCGUACCUAUAUCAGGAAGUAAGUAAAUUGAAAAAAGUAUAGAUUAACGUAGGUAAUCAGAUCCGAAUCUAGUCGGAUUUCAACAUUACAUUCGUCCAACAUCCCACGACCACCAAACUCGAUUUUCAAUUUACUUGUCUGGCAUUUAUUUUUAUGCUAGAAGGUUUGCCGCUGUUGAAUAUCCCUUAUGCCCAUUUGAAGCAUAUUAUUAAGUAACAAAAGCAUUAGAUUCAAUAUUGAUGUCGUGAUGUCGGUUCGUCUGUCUAUCUGUUCAAGUAAUGAAUUCUCAAUCACAAAUGUAGGUAUAUUUCAGUUACGACAAAACUGCACAGUGCAAAUUUUGAUUACAAUUGGUUGUUCCUGUUUUCCCAAUGACUCCGAGGAGGCAUCCAGUCACACCUUUUAUAACAGAGGUUUUUCGUUUCUACAUUGUUUGAGUUGCAGAGUAAACGGAUUUGAUUACCGUAAGGAAUGAAACAAUGAUAGCUCUAGGCCUCCCACGUUCGUUGUACUACCUAUACGACCUAUACAAUGAACUGACUGACUUGAAAAUUUAGAUGUUUAUUUAAGCUAAAUCUGA